AUGUUUAAUAAAAGCUACCCUAAAGAAAUAGAGGAAAACAACAGAAUGGGAAAGACUAGAGAUCUCUUCAAGAAUUAUAGAGAUACCAAGGGAACAUUUCAUGCAAAGAUGGGCUCAAUAAAGGACAGAAAUGGUAUGGACCUAACAGAAGCAGAAGAAAUUAAGAAGAGGUGGCAAGAAUAUACAGAAGAACUGUACAAAAAAGAUCUUCAUGACCAAGAUAAUCACUAUGGUGUGAUCACUCACCUAGAGCCAGACAUCCUGGAAUUUGAAGUCAAGUGGGCCUUAGAAAGCAUCACUACAAACAAAGCUAGUGGAGGGGAUGGAAUUCCAGUUGAGCUACUUCAAAUCCUGAAAGAUGAUGCUGUGAAAGUGCUGCACUCAGCUUGCCAGCAAAUUUGGAAAACUCAGCAGUGGCCACAGGACUGGAAAAGGUCCGUUUUCAUUCCAAUCCCAAAGAAAGGCAAUGCCAAAGAAUGCUCAAACUACCACACAAUUGCACUCAUCUCACACACUAGUAAAGUAAUGCUCAAAAUUCUCCAAGUCAGGCUUCAGCAAUACGUGAACCAUGAACUUCCAGAUGUUCAAGCUGGUUUUAGAAAAGGCAGAGGAACCAGAAAUCAAAUUGCUAACAUCCACUGGAUCAUCGAAAAAGCAAGAGAGUUCCAGAAAAACAUCUAUUUCUGCUUUAUUGACUAUGCCAAAGCUUCUGACUGUGUGGAUCACAAUAAACUGUGCAAAAUUCUGAAAGAGAUGGGAAUACCAGACCACCUGACCUGCCUCUUGAGAAACCUGUAUGCAGGUCAUGAAGCAACAGUUAGAACUGGACACGGAACAACAGACUGGUUCCAAAUAGGAAAAGGAGUACGUCAAGGCUGUAUAUUGUCACCCUGCUUAUUUAACUUAUAUGCAGAAUACAUCAUGAGAAAUGCUGGGCUGGAAGAAGCACAAGCUGGAAUCAAGAUUGCCAGGAGAAAUAUCAAUAACCUCAGAUAUGCAGAUGAUACCACCCUUAUGGCAGAAAGUGAAGAGGAACUAAAAAGCCUCUUGAUGAAAGUAAAAGAGGAGAGUGAAAAAGUUGGCUUAAAGCUCAGCAUUCAGAAAAUGAAGAUCAUGGCAUCUGGUCCCAUCACUUGGGAAAUAGAUGGGGAAACAGUGUCAGACUUUAUUUUUGGGGGCUCCAAAAUCACUGCAGAUGGUGACUGCAGCCAUGAAAUUAAAAGACGCUUACUCCUCGGAAGGAAAAUUAUGACCAACCUAGACAGCAUAUUGAAAAGCAGAGACAUUACUCUGCCAACUAAGGUCCAUCUAGCCAAGGCUAUGGUUUUUCCAGUGGUCAUGUAUUGA
rnacentral:lncRNA from 1 species